AGCGAACGCUGGCGGCAGGCCUAACACAUGCAAGUCGAACGGACCCUUCGGGGUUAGUGGCGGACGGGUGAGUAACACGUGGGAACGUGCCCUUUGGUUCGGAACAACUCAGGGAAACUUGAGCUAAUACCGAAUGUGCCCUUCGGGGGAAAGAUUUAUCGCCAUUGGAGCGGCCCGCGUCUGAUUAGCUAGUUGGUGGGGUAAUGGCCUACCAAGGCGACGAUCAGUAGCUGGUCUGAGAGGAUGAUCAGCCACAUUGGGACUGAGACACGGCCCAAACUCCUACGGGAGGCAGCAGUGGGGAAUCCUGCGCAAUGGGCGAAAGCCUGACGCAGCCAUGCCGCGUGAAUGAUGAAGGUCUUAGGAUUGUAAAAUUCAUUCACCGGGGACGAUAAUGACGGUACCCGGAGAAGAAGCCCCGGCUAACUUCGUGCCAGCAGCCGCCGUAA
rnacentral:rRNA from 1 species